rnacentral:rRNA from 1 species
UACGUAGGGUGCAAGCGUUGUCCGGAAUUAUUGGGCGUAAAGAGCUUGUAGGCGGUUUGUCGCGUCUGCUGUGAAAUUUCGGGGCUCAACCCCGAACUUGCAGUGGGUACGGGCAGACUAGAGUGUGGUAGGGGAGACUGGAAUUCCUGGUGUAGCGGUGAAAUGCGCAGAUAUCAGGAGGAACACCGAUGGCGAAGGCAGGUCUCUGGGCCAUAACUGACGCUGAGAAGCGAAAGCAUGGGAGAACGGA